UAGCCAUAUAAGGAAUGGAACAUAUAUGACCAGGCCCUGCUACCAUUAUAACCUAUACAGCUGUCAGAUGUGGGCGUUAACAAGCAAGAACUGAGAUGGAGAAAGGUCAAGGUAAGCAUAAUAGGGUCCUUCCAUGGAAGGGCUCGGCUUUGCUACUCUGUAUUAAAGACUAUAUUGAAUUCACAAUUUCUGGUAAGAGUGUUAUGUUUCUGAGGCAAUAUUCCACGACAUAUUUGGUGAGCAUGCCAGGAGCUGAAGAGAUCUCGGACAGUGGCGUUCUUGGCUGGUGACAGUUUCUCUGGACAAUCUCGCAAACGGGUGGCCGCCCAACUAUAGCAGGUAAACCAUCUCUCUCAGGUCAGGGCGUGACACGCACCUUCAUUCUACCAAUUAAGCUUGAAUAUGAAAGAGCAAACUGGAUAAUGUAGGGCAACAUUACCCGGUAAACAGGAUUAAUAAAAUCAAUUAAAGGAUUCAGGGAGGCAAUUAUGAAUUGAAACAAUCACAUAAAACCAGAAUAAGAAGCUCAAAUUACCAGCAUUUUGAUGUCAGCAUUCCAUCAUCAGAAAAUACAUUACGAUGGGGGCCAGAUCUGGCUCUGCUCGCCUCGCAGACGUGCGAGGGGUUAGUAGAGCCAUAGAGAAUAUCAGAGCAUAAGAAGAAAGCUCCCUGUUUUAGAUGUGGGACUAUCGGGUAUGGGAAGAAUGAGUGUAAGGUGACACUGGAACCUAGUGCAUUAGCAGGAAAUGCAGCUAUACAAGAGUUUGCAUCUUUUUCAAAAGAGCAACAACCAAUCGUUUUGAGGUUAGUAAGAAUGGAACUUUCACCUAGCGGUGUAUAGUCUCUGAUCGAUCAAUGAGUGGUUCAUAGAGAUGACAGUUUAUAUGUGAUGGAAGACAUUAGAUCAAGUUUUACCUAACUUUUAUUAGAGUACCGAUGGGAUUUACAAAUAGUCCCACUUGGUAUCAUUUUGCAUUGAAACAAUAAUUUCCGUGGUGAUAAAAUAUGAUGAUUUGUUAUUAGCGUCGAAAGACGGAAAAUAAACUUAUAUGAGAGAUCACCACCUUAGUAAAUUAGUUGGAGGAACAGGCAAAGCAAAAUGUAACAUAUUUGACGUUUUCAAUUUCUGAGGGCAAGAUACAGAGAACCUGGGAUCGUGUGGCUCAGUUGGUAGAGCAUGGUGUUUGCAACGCCAGGGUUGUGGGUUCGAUUCCCACGGGGGACCAGUGCGGGGGAAAAAAGUAUGAAAUGUAUGCAUUCACUACUGUAAGUCGCUUUGGAUAAGCGCGUCUGCUAAAUGAUGUAAAUGUGAAAUGGGUAGAAACUAUGCGUUCUGUGGCAUGGCUAAACUCUCCUCACAUGCUCAGGAAAACUUAAGGGGUUUUCAAUUUUGUUAGACAUUUUAUACCGUCAUUCUCUGAAACUGCUAAGACACUUAUAGAAUGGAAUCAAGAGUGUGAGGAAAUGUUUGUCGAGUUAAAAAAGUAAUUUGGUUAAGCGCCAGCAUUGGGAUUGCCAAAUUUAAAAUGAACUUUUAAAAUGUUUUAGUUAGUUUAUGAACAUUGUGGUGGAUUGAAACAAACAUUUAGUGAUUGGAUUAAGGACAGCGGACUUACGAUGAUCGUGUUCGUUAUAUAAGUAAUACUAUUGGCUUGCUGAUUAAAAGCUAACAUUGUGAAUGUUAACGAAAUGUACACUUUCUUUUCCAGAAGGGGUUUCAUUUUCUCUUGUCGAAAUGUCCUUGGAGACUGCAACACUGGGGAAAGCAGUUAGUGAUAGUCGGCCAUUUUAAAAAGUAAAAGUAUCUGAAUUAGGCUAUAAAUGGAGUUCCGGAUAAGUGAGGCCGGUUCCUGUGUGUCCUUGACCUAUGGUUUACCAGCAAGUACACACCAAUUACCGGGAAUGAAUAUGUAUUAGUGGAUUUGUUUUGGAAGGGGUCUUUUCAAUUCAGUUUCAAAUUGGGUAUGCAGAAGGAUGGAAAUGUUUUUGAAAAUGUAUUUAAGUUGUUUCUGAAGGACAGGGAAAGAGAAGGGAGUGGAAACAUUUUAAUGGUGUCAAAUGCCCUGAAUCCUAAACAUUUCCCGUGAAGACUGAUCAACUUCACUAGAAAUGAUCGGAACAGGUGGGAUUUAAAUAUAAAAUGACUAAGAAACACCAGUCUCUAUUCAAAGUGUACAAUUACUUUGAAAUUCUAUAAUUUCCUUCGGAAAAUUAUGAAGAGUUGUAAUCUUAAAUUGACUAGUUACUCAAAUAUGUUUCUUUUUUGAUUGAAAAUGUUAUUGAAUCGUGUUUAUAGGGAAAUGAUCAGUUCCCUGGGGUUAUGAUCUUUGAGUAAAUAUACAAAUGUGCUUUGUUCAGUCUGCAUAUAGAAGGGAAUUAUAUGUUAACAAGGGAUGACAGUAUGGCUCAGUUGGUAGAGCAUGGUGUUUGCAAAGCCAGGGUUGUGGGUUCGAUUCCCACGGGGGAACAAAAUGGGGGGAAAAAUGAUUUAAAAAAUGUAUGCACUCACUACUGUAAGUCGCUCUGGAUAAGAGUGUCUGCUAAAUGACUAAAAUGUAAAUGUUACUCCAAAUGGAUUAUGAUGUAAGUAUAGAUGAUUUCAUUUUGUGUUUUUGUUUCAUUACAAAAUUUGCAACAUUGGGAUAUUGGAGUGUGGGUUUCUGCGAGGGGUUAUGUUGAUUACAUGAUCUGUAACUCGUCUGAGAGAUCGCCAGUAGAAUAAGGGAGUUAUCAUGGAAGGUGACGUCAGAAUGCUUUAAUGCAUGGGAGAGAUAUUUUUACCACAACAAGUGUGUGUGAAGCUCAAACCCUCCCUAACCGGCUGAAGAGUGAGGGACAACUGUGUCUGAUGACCUGUGAACUAUAUCUGAAAUAGACAUGCUGGAAUGAUAUGUGCUGGAGAAAGGAAGACUAAAGGGGAACGGGUUACUGACCUUUCAUUACUAGGCCACUCAUGACAGAAAAACAGGGACAAAGGGGGGCUGUAAUGAGAAUAGAUAUUACUGAUACUAAAAGUUUUUUUAGUAUAAAUGUAAAUUAUUUAAAGGGAUGAAGUGUGUUGAAUUGAGAAGGUCGAAUUUGAGUUAAAGUAAGCACUAAGGACUGUUAUUCUGAAUUUGGGUUGGACAAUUUAUAAAACGUUUUAGUUCUGAUUUGGAUAUAGAACUGUUUAAAUUUACUAGGCCUAGGGAAGCUCUGGAAACCAAUCCUGAGACAGGGAGGUUGUCAGAACUUACAGAAUGAUAGAUUAAAGGUUUUUGUUUAUUUUGUUUUAUUAUGUCAUUAGAAUUUUAAUGUUAAAUUGUAUUGAUAUAAUUAAUUGCAUAAAAGGUAUAUAGUCUGUGUUUUGCGAUAACACCCAAGGAUGGAGAAGAAAGAGACCAACAUAACAUGGGCAUAGAACGUAACGGAUGGACGUUUUCCCCAGGUUUAGUUACAUUAUGAGUAGUGGUCAUAGAACGUAACGGAUGGACGUUUUCCCCAGGUUUAGUUACAUUAUGAGUAGUAGUCAUAGAACGUAACGGAUGGACGUUUUCCCCAGGUUUAGUUACAUUAUGAGUAGUGGUCAUAGAAUGUAACGGAUGGACGUUUUCCCCAGGUUUAGUUACAUUAUGACUAGUGGUCAUAGAACGUAACGGAUGGACGUUUUCCCCAGGUUUAGUUACAUUAUGACUAGUGGUCAUAGAACGUAACGGAUGGACGUUUUCCCCAGGUUUAGUUACAUUAUGACUAGUGGUCAUAGAACGUAACGGAUGGACGUUUUCCCCAGGUUUAGUUACAUUAUGACUAGUGGUCAUAGAACGUAACGGAUGGACGUUUUCCCCAGGUUUAGUUACAUUAUGACUAGUGGUCAUAGAACGUAACGGAUGGACGUUUUCCCCAGGUUUAGUUACAUUACGAGUAGUGGUCAUAGAACGUAACGGAUGGACGUUUUCCCCAGGUUUAGUUACAUUACGAGUAGUGGUCAUAGAACGUAACGGAUGGACGUUUUCCCCAGGUUUAGUUACAUUACGAGUAGUGGUCAUAGAACGUAACGGAUGGACGUUUUCCCCAGGUUUAGUUACAUUAUGAGUAGUGGUCAUAGAACGUAACGGAUGGACGUUUUCCCCAGGUUUAGUUACAUUACGAGUAGUGGUCAUAGAACGUAACGGAUGGACGUUUUCCCCAGGUUUAGUUACAUUACGAGUAGUGGUCAUAGAACGUAACGGAUGGACGUUUUCCCCAGGUUUAGUUACAUUACGAGUAGUGGUCAUAGAACGUAACGGAUGGACGUUUUCCCCAGGUUUAGUUACAUUACGAGUAGUGGUCAUAGAACGUAACGGAUGGACGUUUUCCCCAGGUUUAGUUACAUUACGAGUAGUGGUCAUAGAACGUAACGGAUGGACGUUUUCCCCAGGUUUAGUUACAUUACGAGUAGUGGUCAUAGAACGUAACGGAUGGACGUUUUCCCCAGGUUUAGUUACAUUAUGAGUAGUGGUCAUAGAAUGUAACGGAUGGACGUUUUCCCCAGGUUUAGUUACAUUACGAGUAGUGGUCAUAGAACGUAACGGAUGGACGUUUUCCCCAGGUUUAGUUACAUUACGAGUAGUGGUCAUAGAACGUAACGGAUGGACGUUUUCCCCAGGUUUAGUUACAUUACGAGUAGUGGUCAUAGAACGUAACGGAUGGACGUUUUCCCCAGGUUUAGUUACAUUAUGACUAGUGGGCAUAGAAUGUAACGGAUGGACGUUUUCCCCAGGUUUAGUUACAUUAUGAGUAGUGGUCAUUUAUUACAAAUAUGCAGUUAUUAUAAUUUAUUUUUCUCUUUUCUUGUCUGGUCAA